rnacentral:rRNA from 1 species
UUAAGUUAUUAAGGGCGCACGGUGGAUGCCUUGGCACUAGAAGCCAAUGAAGGACGUUACUAACGACGAUAUGCUUUGGGGAGCUGUAAGUAAGCUUUGAUCCAGAGAUUUCCGAAUGGGGAAACCCAGCAUGAGUUAUGUCAUGUUAUCGAUAUGUGAAUACAUAGCAUAUCAGAAGGCACACCCGGAGAACUGAAACAUCUUAGUACCCGGAGGAAGAGAAAGAAAAUUCGAUUCCCUUAGUAGCGGCGAGCGAAACGGGAAGAGCCCAAACCAACAAGCUUGCUUGUUGGGGUUGUAGGACACUCUAUACGGAGUUACAAAGGACGACAUUAGACGAAUCAUCUGGAAAGAUGAAUCAAAGAAGGUAAUAAUCCUGUAGUCGAAAAUGUUGUCUCUCUUGAGUGGAUCCUGAGUACGACGGAGCACGUGAAAUUCCGUCGGAAUCUGGGAGGACCAUCUCCUAAGGCUAAAUACUCUCUAGUGACCGAUAGUGAACCAGUACCGUGAGGGAAAGGUGAAAAGCACCCCGGAAGGGGAGUGAAAUAGAACCUGAAACCGUGUGCUUACAAGUAGUCAGAGCCCGUUAAUGGGUGAUGGCGUGCCUUUUGUAGAAUGAACCGGCGAGUUACGAUUUGAUGCAAGGUUAAGCAGUAAAUGUGGAGCCGUAGCGAAAGCGAGUCUGAAUAGGGCGUUUAGUAUUUGGCCGUAGACCCGAAACCAGGUGAUCUACCCUUGGUCAGGUUGAAGUUCAGGUAACACUGAAUGGAGGACCGAACCGACUUACGUUGAAAAGUGAGCGGAUGAACUGAGGGUAGCGGAGAAAUUCCAAUCGAACCUGGAGAUAGCUGGUUCUCUCCGAAAUAGCUUUAGGGCUAGCCUCAAGUGAUGAUUAUUGGAGGUAGAGCACUGUUUGGACGAGGGGCCCUCUCGGGUUACCGAAUUCAGACAAACUCCGAAUGCCAAUUAAUUUAACUUGGGAGUCAGAACAUGGGUGAUAAGGUCCGUGUUCGAAAGGGAAACAGCCCAGACCACCAGCUAAGGUCCCAAAAUAUAUGUUAAGUGGAAAAGGAUGUGGCGUUGCCCAGACAACUAGGAUGUUGGCUUAGAAGCAGCCAUCAUUUAAAGAGUGCGUAAUAGCUCACUAGUCGAGUGACACUGCGCCGAAAAUGUACCGGGGCUAAACAUAUUACCGAAGCUGUGGAUUGUCCUUUGGACAAUGGUAGGAGAGCGUUCUAAGGGCGUUGAAGCAUGAUCGUAAGGACAUGUGGAGCGCUUAGAAGUGAGAAUGCCGGUGUGAGUAGCGAAAGACGGGUGAGAAUCCCGUCCACCGAUUGACUAAGGUUUCCAGAGGAAGGCUCGUCCGCUCUGGGUUAGUCGGGUCCUAAGCUGAGGCCGACAGGCGUAGGCGAUGGAUAACAGGUUGAUAUUCCUGUACCACCUAUAAUCGUUUUAAUCGAUGGGGGGACGCAGUAGGAUAGGCGAAGCGUGCGAUUGGAUUGCACGUCUAAGCAGUAAGGCUGAGUAUUAGGCAAAUCCGGUACUCGUUAAGGCUGAGCUGUGAUGGGGAGAAGACAUUGUGUCUUCGAGUCGUUGAUUUCACACUGCCGAGAAAAGCCUCUAGAUAGAAAAUAGGUGCCCGUACCGCAAACCGACACAGGUAGUCAAGAUGAGAAUUCUAAGGUGAGCGAGCGAACUCUCGUUAAGGAACUCGGCAAAAUGACCCCGUAACUUCGGGAGAAGGGGUGCUCUUUAGGGUUAACGCCCAGAAGAGCCGCAGUGAAUAGGCCCAAGCGACUGUUUAUCAAAAACACAGGUCUCUGCUAAACCGUAAGGUGAUGUAUAGGGGCUGACGCCUGCCCGGUGCUGGAAGGUUAAGAGGAGUGGUUAGCUUCUGCGAAGCUACGAAUCGAAGCCCCAGUAAACGGCGGCCGUAACUAUAACGGUCCUAAGGUAGCGAAAUUCCUUGUCGGGUAAGUUCCGACCCGCACGAAAGGCGUAACGAUUUGGGCACUGUCUCAACGAGAGACUCGGUGAAAUCAUAGUACCUGUGAAGAUGCAGGUUACCCGCGACAGGACGGAAAGACCCCGUGGAGCUUUACUGUAGCCUGAUAUUGAAAUUCGGCACAGCUUGUACAGGAUAGGUAGGAGCCUUUGAAACGUGAGCGCUAGCUUACGUGGAGGCGCUGGUGGGAUACUACCCUAGCUGUGUUGGCUUUCUAACCCGCACCACUUAUCGUGGUGGGAGACAGUGUCAGGCGGGCAGUUUGACUGGGGCGGUCGCCUCCUAAAAGGUAACGGAGGCGCUCAAAGGUUCCCUCAGAAUGGUUGGAAAUCAUUCAUAGAGUGUAAAGGCAUAAGGGAGCUUGACUGCGAGACCUACAAGUCGAGCAGGGUCGAAAGACGGACUUAGUGAUCCGGUGGUUCCGCAUGGAAGGGCCAUCGCUCAACGGAUAAAAGCUACCCCGGGGAUAACAGGCUUAUCUCCCCCAAGAGUUCACAUCGACGGGGAGGUUUGGCACCUCGAUGUCGGCUCAUCGCAUCCUGGGGCUGUAGUCGGUCCCAAGGGUUGGGCUGUUCGCCCAUUAAAGCGGUACGCGAGCUGGGUUCAGAACGUCGUGAGACAGUUCGGUCCCUAUCCGUCGUGGGCGUAGGAAAUUUGAGAGGAGCUGUCCUUAGUACGAGAGGACCGGGAUGGACAUACCUCUGGUGUACCAGUUGUCGUGCCAACGGCAUAGCUGGGUAGCUAUGUGUGGACGGGAUAAGUGCUGAAAGCAUCUAAGCAUGAAGCCCCCCUCAAGAUGAGAUUUCCCAACUUCGGUUAUAAGAUCCCUCAAAGAUGAUGAGGUUAAUAGGUUCGAGGUGGAAGCAUGGUGACAUGUGGAGCUGACGAAUACUAAUCGAUCGAAGACUUAAUCAA